CACACAUACUUUUGUUUAACACGAUAAUAUAUAUUUAUCAAUCAAGGUUAUAAACAAUCACCACUGAUUGUCAUUGAUAGUUAAGAUCAUUUAAAAAUGACGAAUGAUGAUUGCGAUCGUAUAAUUAGCCUUCAAGGCUAUUCAAAAGCCAUAAGAUCAUCGAGAUCGUGUAAUUGGUAUCCAAAGUCAUUCGAAAAUCAUAGGCAUCAUCGUGACAUUAAGAUUUAUAAUCAUUUGAGAAAUUAUGAUGCAUGUUUUUUUUAAUAUUCAUGGCCAUCUUGACUAUCAAAACUAUUCAAAGGUUAUGUGAGCUAUCGAAAACGUGUUCAUUAACAAUCUUACGUAUAUUACAAUAAAUAUCAUCGAAAAUAGUCAUCAAAGUUGUGUUAUUACGCGUUAAAAUAUUUAAUGGGAUAUAUAAAUAUUAAAAAUAAUCAAACUCGUAUCGCUAAUAGCCAAAGCAAAGACAAUUUUAUCAUCGAAAUUUUUUAAAAUACGUACAAAUAACUCUGUGGAUGAUGAUUGAUUAAUAAUUUUGAACAAUUUAAAAGACUCUGGUUUGAGGAUUGUUGGAAAAAUUGUUCAAAGAUGAUCUUGCAAAAGAAUACGUGCAUAGUCAGCACACGUUUAUAUAUAUAUAUAUAUAUAAGAGGUGGAGGAUAUGAUAAGAAAUUAUCAUUCGGAGGCACGAACGACGAGCCCACACAACUAUUCAGAUUUCUUUAUCAUCCCUUAACUCGAUACACGCUUGUCACGAACACCGACACGGAUGAGAAAUUUUUAAAUAUAAUACGAAGAAUAAAAUAAUAACAUGCGAAUCCAGUAGAGUGAUUACAUUAUAUUAUUCAAACGAAAAACAUUGGUGUAUAUGUAUGAUAUAUGCUUCGUUUACCUCCGUAUUAUUACGUACAUUUAUGAAUACAUUACGUGUGUAACUUGCGCGAAAAAUUAAAUUAUAUUUAAUUUUUCGUUAUAAAUUAUUAAUACGUUCAAUCGUAAUUUUACUUUGUAAAUUAAUCUCGAUACAAGGUUACGCGAUAAUCGAUAGAAUAAUAUUUUAUUUCUAUGUGAAAAUUCAUUUGUUCGAACGAAGAUCGUUCUUUACGAUCUUAUUUAAUUUCUCGAUUAAGAGGAUUCUUCGUCAAUGGUCGUUCGAAUUUAUGGGAAAUAUUGUUUGCGUAAAAUAUAGGUACAGGAGCGUAAGAAAAAUGGAGUUGAAAAGCGGAUCGAGGCCGAGUUAUAGAUGUUGGUGGCGGUGGCGGUUGCGGCCGUGGGCAUCGUUUUUGCGCGGGAAAGGUAUUUUCGUUCGGCGGAUCCGCUUUGUUGGUCCGCGCGUUAAAAUAUCUUUGUACGUUAGAAAGUGUUUGCGGCCGGGAGAUAUUUUAGGAGGCGAAAACGUUUCCACGGUGAGGUGAGGUCAACGGUGUCGCAGCGUAAAGAAGGAAACUACGAGUGAUAAAAAGGUCGUAAUGCGUGUUAAGUGCGGAAUUUCUGAUACGAUAAUAAACAACCGACAACGAAAUUCGCAAUCGUUCUCUGUGUGCACACCGCUUGACGGAUGCGAUGUAAAGUGAAAAUAAUUACCGGCUACGGAUUGAAAAUAAAAUACCGAGAUGAAAUAAAAGCAUUUCUCCGUUUCUCUGCAAACUAUGCACAUAUGAAUGAUGAGAAUGAUUACGUGCAAGUGACAGCAGACUCAUUCAUGUACAGUCUGUGUAUAUGAAAAUAAAAAAAAAAAUGGUGAAGAAAUCAAUGGAAAUAGUAAAUAAUGGACCAGAUGUGAAGAACGAGUGUGGAGAGGCUGGCAGCGCGGAUGAGUAAACGCGAACAACACGUGGACUAAGAACGAGAUCCGUGAUAAAUGGAAAUGCUAGGAUAGAAUUCAAGGAUAACGCCAUAAAUCUCACUUUCUCAAUUUUUUCGCAACUUCGCGUUUUCUUUCUCCGUUAUUUAUUUGUUAUAUCGAGGGAGAAAAGUACGUACAAGUGAAUUGUAAGGGAAGACGAGAUUUCGAUUUCUUUAUCUUGGAAUAUGCGAAAAUCUUGUACACAGCUGUCCUCGACCGAGUCUUCGAAAUGAUCGAAAACAAGCCGCACACAGCACAGAUGUGCGAUCGCAAACUGAAAUGCACGUGGAAAAAUAAAGUAUGACUCAUACUCGAUAUUCAAACGUGGAUCGUGCAAAACGAAUAAUGCCACGUACGAAAACUUUUACCACGUUCAGAUUUCAACCAAAUACUUUGUAAAUAAUCACUUGCGUCAAUCUGCUCGAGAUUUUAGAUUACACGCUAUUAGCGUGGUAAAUCAAAAAGAUGUUGUUGUUGUUGUGGAAGAUAAAUUUAAAGCUAACUUUAUAUGAGACAAAAAGCAGAAAGAAGAUAAAUCCGUUUGUAACAACUUUAAGCAAAUUAAACCAAAUUUUUGUUUUAAGUGCAUCACUUGACGUACGAGUCUCAUAACUCGAAAAAGUGUCAAAAGAUUGGAUCUUUCUCUUGCAAGCUUUUUAUGAUUGUUAUGCCCAUCGAGUAUAUUAUAUCGUUAAAAAAAAAUAGAGAAAAAUAGUAAUAAAUUGCAAAUAAUAAAUUAUUCGAUUCAAACUUAUUCUGGU